CAACAAUUGUGACAUCACCAUCAUUUCCAGGCAGUCAGACACAAGCUACAAAGAGAAAAUUUCCAUUUGUUGACUGCAGUGUUAUUAACCAGCACUUAGGGAAAAGAACAUGAAGGGGAGUGGAGAAGUUAUGGUAUACAGCAUUUGAAAAUGUUCAACUGGCUUUCUUAAAGCAUGGCAGCUGCGUUCCAAGAAGGAAAGGCUCACUUUUGUGCCAAUGCUUAUCAAGUCUCUGCAUCGUGUUUGCUGAUGUCCUGUUGGCCAUACAAGUCACAUGGCCCAAGCCCAGUGUCGUCUGCACCUGUGAAGGAAUACAAGUGACUUGUGAUGGAUAUGGGGGGUUAAGCCUAGACCAGUUUUGCCUCCUUUUCUCAGUUGACAUAAAUGGUGUCAGAACAGCAUGGGAUCCGAAGCAAUGCACCGCUCUGACUCUGGAUUCAAACAUGGUACCUGCCUGAGCAGGCGGCUCGGAGUUCUGCUGAGAUUCCUCUUUUUAAUUACCUGAUUGCUUGCACAAUAUGGGCCUAAAUUGGGGAACCCCCUUGAAAGACCACCUCCUGAAAUGAGACACAACUGUUCAACUGAAUUGACCUAUUUUCAAAAGACUAGUUCCUGAGAUAUGGAGCAGACCUCUCUCUUAAGGCCCAGAACAGAACAUUGAACUCUGGUUACCAGGGAAUAAUACUGAUGUCUGAUAUUUUUCUAAAAAAAAUCUUGAUCAAAGGGGAAUUGUAUAAAAUUUCUGGACAUAAGAUUCUCCAUUCUGAAGCUCCAUUUUUCUUUCCAACUCACGAACUCUUGAACUGGGCCAGGAGCAGCAAUUGUUUUACAAACAGUUGGUCAUAAAGUUUGAACAGAGGAGCAGGCAUUCAGAUCCUACGAUCAAGUGAAUUAAUGCAUACCAGAGACAGGUUUGUUUGAUGGCACCAAUAAAAUAAUCAAUAAGAUAGUAAUCAGAAGUGGCUCCACUGGUUAGCACCAAAGGAGCAGUUUUUUUCACUUCUUUAUCUAAAUCAUGUAAUCACCCCUUCCUUCUUGCUCAUCAAAACCCCUUGCUUUCCCUACGUGACCAAGACCCUUUUCUGAUUUCUCCGGAAUCUGUGCACCUCAGUUGCAAUUCUGAGACCCCAAAUAAAGGCCUUUGUUCUUUUUCA